AUGAACGUUGGCGGCGUGGAUUAGGCAUGCAAGUCGUGCGGCAGCAGGCCCCGCAAGGGGUGCUGGCGAGCGGCGAAAGGGUCAGUAACACGUGGAUAACCUACCCUCGGGCCCGGGAUAGCGGCGGGAAACUGCCGGUAAUACCGGAUAAUGUCCCUGGACCAAAGGUGUGAUUCCGUCCGAGGAUGGGUCCGCGUCCUAUUAGCUAGUUGGUGAGGUAACGGCCCACCAAGGCAAAGAUGGGUAGGGGGUGUGAGAGCAUGAUCCCCGACACUGGGACUGAGAUACGGCCCAGACUCCUACGGGAGGCAGCAGUCGAGAGGCUUCGGCAAUGGGGGAAACCCUGACCGAGCGACGCCGCGUGGGGGAUGAAGGCCUUUGGGUUGUAAACCCCUGUCAAGUGGGACGAAACACUCUGAGGUGAUAAGCCGAGGGGUUUGACGGUACCGCCAGAGGAAGCUCCGGCUAACUCCGUGCCAGCAGCCGCGGUAAUACGGGGGGAGCAAGCGUUGUUCGGAAUUACUGGGCGUAAAGGGUGUCUAGGCGGCCUUGUAAGUCGGGGGUGAAAUCCACUGGCUCAACCAGUGACGUGCCUUCGAAACUGCUAGGCUUGAGUAUGGCAGAGGAGAGCGGAAUUCCAGGUGUAGCGGUGAAAUGCGUAGAUAUCUGGAAGAACACCGGUGGCGUAGGCGGCUCUCUGGGCCAAUACUGACGCUGAAGCACGAAAGCCAGGGGAGCAAACGGGAUUAGAUACCCCGGUAGUCCUGGCCCUAAACGUUGGAUACUAGGUGUAGGAGGCAUCGACCCCUUCUGUGCCGCAGCUAACGCAUUAAGUAUCCCGCCUGGGGAGUACGACCGCAAGGUUGAAACUCAAAGGAAUUGACGGGGGCCCGCACAAGCGGUGGAGUAUGUGGUUUAAUUCGACGCAACGCGAAGAACCUUACCGGGGCUUGACAUGCACAGGACAGGCGUGGAAACACGCUCUCCCUUCGGGGUCUGUGCACAGGUGCUGCAUGGCUGUCGUCAGCUCGUGUCGUGAGAUGUUGGGUUAAGUCCCGCAACGAGCGCAACCCUUGCCCUUAGUUGCCAUCAUUCAGUUGGGAACUCUAAGGGGACUGCCGGUGAUAAGCCGGAGGAAGGUGGGGAUGACGUCAAGUCCUCAUGGCCCUUACGCCCCGGGCUACACACGUACUACAAUGGCCGGUACAGAGGGUCGCAAUGUCGCGAGACGGAGCUAAUCCCAAAAAGCCGGCCUCAGUUGGGAUCGUAGUCUGCAACUCGACUACGUGAACUCAAAAUCGCUAGUAAUCGCGGAUCAGCACACCGCGUGUAUCACUUCCCGGUGGUUGUACACACCGC
rnacentral:rRNA from 1 species